GUAUAAAUGAUUCAGAAACUGUCUAAAUAGCAGUAAAUCCGCACAUACGUUUUAUAUAUUCUAACAUUUAAAACAACUCGCUUCAAAUAAUUACGAAUAAUUUUGUUUUUGGAACGAAAUUACCACAGAUUUACAUUCUUUAUAAGCUCAAAGCUCGACGGUUGACUUCAGCUCUGUGAAGCUGACGGAACAGGAUUGUAACGAAGAUCUUCAGAAACCUGUACAAACCUUAAAUGAUGGCUAGAAUUCGCUGGAGAACCGGGUUGCCAGAUCCCUCCUAACCACCCAUCGUCCUCAAGUAAAUCCAGGAACUGCUUUAUCCUGAUAAGGGUCACAGUGGGGCAGGAGCCUUCCCAGGUAUACCAGGUGCAAUUCUAGACACAUCUAUUCAUUUAAUCACCCCUGGGUGCAGUGUAGAGUAACCGACAAACCUACUGGCAUGAUCACAAACUAUACAGACACUGAGAGAAGGUCUCAAAUUAAUCACAGUGUCCGUACUAGAACUGUCAGCUCAGAAAAAUAUUUAUAUUCCAGGUUUAUAAUAAGAGCUGAUACUCUAAAGAAACUUAACACAAAGGCAAGGAUCAAACCCCAGGCCCCAAGGAACUGUGCUGCACCCACACUACCUGUUGUGUACAAAACUGCAUGUUUGUUGUUUACUUUUUAUUAGCUGCAGCUUAAACAAA